UUCCCGAACGAAAGCAAAAUAGGAAAGUUCAAAAUACUAUCUGUUAGGUAUAUAAAUAACAAUCGGGUGGUUUUUAUUGGACUUCUAAUGAUCAUUUACGUCAUUACGUGGGCCAUUCCUCAUCGGGAACAUACAUGAUAGGCAGUAUGGGUGACCUAUAUUUUGUUUGAAAAUAAUUCGGUAGAAAAUAUACUUACGAAAAUUAUUCGAGCAGAAAAAUAUUUGACUAGAAAAGCAUUUUAGCCGAAAAAUAAUUUAUACGAAAAUAAAAUGCUGGAAAAGUUUAUUCUCUGAAAAUAUUGCACACGAAAAUAAUUUAUUAAAACCGUAUUUGGUUAGAAAAUUAACUAUAUUAAAUACAAAUAGAGCGCGCUGUUGAAAAGGCAAACCACAGCAUGGCACAGAUUAAUACACUGGAUACGAAACGAACGAUUGAUAAGUGAGACCCGAACCGUAGAGUAAUAUUAAGGUAGGUACACAGUAGAGGGAAUCCUCAAGGAAAGGCAUCGCCACCACACGCCCAGAAAUUACUCAAGGAUUUUCAGUGUAACUACUACCUACGUCUGUACUUCAGCGCGUACUCGUACUGUAAUUUUUCGUGGCCGCAUCAUAUUCCUGUCUAAACAAUAAUAUAGUUUAUCCGCGUAUUCUAGCGUAUAAUCAUAAAUAAAAAUGGAUAAGUCAAAUAACGACAUUAUGGCGACUAUUGGUUUCUUGAUGGCAGUGAAUUGUUUAAAAUUUCACGUGAAGAAACGCAAGAGAAAUGUAUGGGUGAAAGACUAGUUAGCAAAAAGGGCAAAAUAUUCACAUGUGAACCUGCUAACUGAACUCUAACUUAGGCUUGCCGCACACCAAAAGAGCAAAACUGUGUUAGACAAUGUUAGUCAUUUUCGUGUUAGUCAACUAAAAACAAUUUACUUUUAUAAAACGCACACUACCUAGACAAAAACCAUUAGACAAAAUAAAAAUCAGUCGUCAUCAUUUCAUCUGAUGACGAUGUUGUGAUUUGCAUGUGGUACACAUUACAAAAUUUAGAACAGAAUUAUAAAAAAAAAUUAUGGAU